GGCGAACGCUGGCGGCGUGCUUAACACAUGCAAGUCGAACGGAAAGGCCCUGCUUUUGUGGGGUGCUCGAGUGGCGAACGGGUGAGUAACACGUGAGUAACCUGCCCUUGACUUUGGGAUAACUUCAGGAAACUGGGGCUAAUACCGGAUAGGAGCUCCUGCUGCAUGGUGGGGGUUGGAAAGUUUCGGCGGUUGGGGAUGGACUCGCGGCUUAUCAGCUUGUUGGUGGGGUAGUGGCUUACCAAGGCUUUGACGGGUAGCCGGCCUGAGAGGGUGACCGGCCACAUUGGGAAUGAGAUACGGCCCAGACUCCUACGGGGGGGAGCGGUGGGGAAUAUUGCACAAGGGGCGGAAGCCUGAUGCAGCAACGCCGGGUGCGGGAGGACGGCCUUCGGGUUGUAAACCGCUUUCGCCUGUGACGAAGCGGGAGUGGCGGUAAUGGGAAAAGAAGCACCGGCUAACUACGU
rnacentral:rRNA from 1 species